rnacentral:rRNA from 1 species
AGUUGCUAACGCGUGAAGGCGAGCACUCUAGACGAACUGCCGUUGACAAAACGGAGGAAGGUGGGAUGACGUCAAAUCAUCAUGCCCCUUAUGUUCUGGGCUACACACGUGCUACAAUGGCCGGUACAGACGGACGCAAAGCCGCGAGGUGGAGCAAAUCCUAAAAAGCCGGUCUCAGUUCGGAUUGCAGGCUGCAAUUCGCCUGCAUGAAGUCGGAAUCGCUAGUAAUCGCAGGUCAGCAUACUCGCGGUCCGAAUACGUUCCCGGGCCUU